AGUAUACUCCCUCCAUCCGGAAAUACUUGUCAUCAAAAUGAAUAAAAAAGGAUAUAUGUAGAAUUAAAAUACGUCUAGAUACAUCUUCUUUUAUGCAUUUUGAUGACAAGUAUUUUCGAACGGAGGGAGUAUAUU
rfam:Triticum aestivum genome assembly, contig: Triticum_aestivum_CS42_TGACv1_scaffold_049359_1BS